UGGUUUUCCUCCUUUCUUAUGUUUUUCGCGUUCCUCCAAUCUUGCCCGUUUUGCUUCUUCUCUUUUUUCUUUGGCUUCUCGGCGUUCUUCAGCCUUUCUUUUUCUUAGUUGCUCCUCUUUCUCUUUUUGUUCUUUUUUCUGUCGGAUUGCCUCCGUACGCUCUCCAGCCGUUAGUACGGGGUGAAAAUUUGUUUUGUAAUUUCGAUGUUUAAUACUACGACGCGGCGUUGGCGGUAGAGUUAAUACCUCGGGCAGGCUAAGUGUAGUAUUAUGUCCGUCCAAGAUGUCUAUCUCCACUGUAAUUACAAAAUUAAUAUCAGUUGGGAAAAUGUUCUAUAGUUCGUUUGGCAAUUUUUUUUUGCAAACGUCAGUUUUUUACUUACCAUGCUCGAAAUCCUUAGGCUGUUCUAACAUAAUAUUGCCAGUUCGUGGUUGAUCGAAUAGAUAUUCAUUUAAAGGCAAUAUAUUUGGCAACAUUUCACUGUCUUCAAUGUGAACAAUUUCACAUUUGCUUACAUCGAUGUCCGUAGAAUUGGUCUCAAAGAUAUUCAUUGGAGAUCUUUGUUGAUCGAAUACAACAUGAGGACGAACAAAUUCUCUGUAAAAAAAAUCGAAUGACACGUUCUUCACGAGACAAGAGGUUCACAAGACAAGAGGUCUCCUUCGAUUUUAGAUCUCAUAUCAACACCAAUCAGGUCGUAUGCCUCAAUUAUACGUUCUAUGCUUAUUUUGACGUUGUCCUCACCGCUAUCUUCCUGUCUAGCUGUGCUAUUUGGCUCCAUAAUUGAUGUAUGAAGAGCUUCGCAAGAGUCAUCAACUUCAGAAUGUUCAACUUUAAAAGCAGCUGCUGUCUUGGCAAUGCACUUGGAAUAGUCUACCGCAUUAGCAUCAAAUGGAUGCAAUCCGCAUGCCCGAAAACCAUUGAUAAUCGAUGGCUUUUGAAUUCCUUUUUCAAUAGCCUCACAUAAAACUGGCCCAAAGUGCAAGAUGUUAAGAGCACAACCUUGAUUUUUCAAUCUCCAACCUUCUACUGCACGCUUCCAUUCGUUUUUUAAUGGCUUAAAUAUAGCCACGUCUGCGGGCUGUGUAAUAUGUGUGGUAUUAGGAUAUAGGCAUAUCAAAAUUAUGCUCAGUGAUUUGCAGAGCUCGGCUACUUCUAGUGCAUUGUGCGAUGCAUGGCCAUGAAAUGGCCAUAAUAUUAUAGGAAAUUUCACCCCUUGUUUGAUGACAAAAGGGUGAAAUAUUUUAUGAAUAAAUCCUUUAAAAUUAGGAGAAUCCAUCCAACCGCGUUCGCUUUGACCAAGACCCCAUUCGGAAGGAAAACUUUGCACUAACUCUUGCCGCAAACGUUUACUUGGCAGUAUCACAGUAUCACACGUUCACCUGGCAGUAACGCAAACGUUUACCUGGCAGUAUUGGCAGGAUGUACAAUAAAAUGGCUCCGAAUGCAAACAUAACUGUUACAUUAUGUUCGGCAGCAGCUUGCUCUGCUUCGUAAACAUUGCGGGAACCAGUACGAGCAAUAACCUCUUUUGAUUUUGGAUGAAGGAAAAAUGAGGUUUCGUCUGCGUUAAAAAUUCUAGCUGGAUCAUUCAAUAUUUCUCGCAUUCCAUUCUCAGUUAGCCAACCAUCUAUCAAAUUAAACGAUCCGCGGAUAUCUUUCUCACUAACUCGGCUACUAGCACUAGACAAAGCUUCCGGCAUACGGAAGGAAAAACUGUUGUUGCGCCUCAUAAAGCCGCGUAACCAUUUGCGACCUGAAGUGAGGAGAUAUUGUAAAUUAUUGGUAUUUAAACACUGACUCAUACGCUGCUUACCCGGUUUGUUGUUACGAAAAGGAGUCACUCGAUCUGGAUUAGCUUCUAGAAAUUCUUUUAACUUAAAGAGCAAAACUCUUCGAGUGACUGGAAAUCCACGAUCCUGCAUUUCGUUCAACCAGUCAGCAAUGUUUUGUUUCUCAUCUGCUGAUAGUACAGACUGUGGACCCGGUUUAAACUUAUUUCUCCAAUUACCACUUAUUCUGUAACGGAUGGUGGACAUUGGGAUACCAAAUUCCUUACAGGCAGCGUACAAUGUUUUACCGGCAUUAAUAGAAUUAAUACAGUCGCUAAUCGCAUCUUCGGUGUACGUUUUCAAAUUACGUGAUGGAGCCAUUCUAAAAAAAACACAACACAUAAAUUGAACAAACGUUUUCUUUUCAAUCUAAACUCUACAUACAGUAUCGGACAUAAAGAUAGAACCCUGGUUUUUUCAACGCACCGUGCACUUGUUUUGCCUCGUUACUUGUGUUUGUGUGUAUGUAUGUAUGUGUGUGUGUGUGUGUGUGUGUGUGUGUGUGUGUGUGUGUGUGUGUGUGUGUGUGUGUGUGUGUGUGUGUGUGUGUGUGUGUGUGUGUGUGUGUGUGUGUGUGUGUGUGUGUGUGUGUGUGUGUGUGUGUGUGUGUGUGUGUGUGUGUGUGUGUGUGUGUGUGUGUGUGUGUGUGUGCAUGUGUGUGUGUGUGUGUGUGUGUGUGUGUGUGUGUGUGUGUGUUUGAAUGUGUAUUGGUGUGUGUGUGUUUGUUUCACAAGUAUGUCGUUUCGUUUAGAUUUGUUAGUAGUUUUUCUGUGUUUUGGGUAAGGUUUUUGAUGUAAUAAGCAGAACCACCGCCCUCGCGAUCAGUGUUUUUUCGAUCUAUUAACAACUUUACGGUCUUCUUUCGCCGUGGUCUUCUGAGGAAGUCCGGUUGACUUGCGCGUUUCGGUUGUCCAAGCGCGUUUCAGUUGUCCAAGCGCGUUUUGGUUGUCUAAACACAUUUCGGAUGUCCGAAGCGCGUUUGCGACAAAAGUGCGCGAUCGUUCCAUUACAAACUCGAUCGUUUUGCGCUUAAUGCCAGCAGCCGCCAUUCGCUUUAUUAUAUGGCGCUGAUCAUCGGUACAAUGUUUACCUCGACCCAUUGUUACUAACAUUGCUUGCUUGGACCGUCAAGAACGCGCUGGUUAAAAAGUUGGACACGGCUGAUCCCGUGCUCAGCCUGCGUUCUGCUUCUACACGUGUUAAAUUACAUCGUUGUAGAGCAGCAAAAAAAGCGUAUGGAUAAAAACUAUCAAUGAGUAAGCGAGUGAGUGUCUACCCAUUUAAAUCGAGAACCGAAUACUGCCGCGCUCAUGAAACAAAACGCCCAUUGAAAAGAACACCUGCGCGCCAGCUCAAUGCACGCACAAAGUUUAACAUGCGCACACAACGUUCAACGCAGAGAUGCACGCAGGCAUUUCUAUGGCGUGCACUGGAGAAACACCUGUGAGGGAAUGCCGAGUUCAUUGCUGUUGUGCGCGUGUCCAUUUCACAUCGCUGCGCAUGCACAUUCAUCAACCAGCACACCUGCGGUUUCUUCCGAGGAACAAGCGCUGCUGUCGAUGCAAACUUUAGCUUUUAUCCAAGUGCAAACGCACGCUGUUUCACAUGAUAACACACAUUAUCAGAAUACUUUCCAUGCAAUAUGAAACCAUAGCAAGCUACGUUUUUCAGACACAAACCCGCGCACUUGCAAAUACACAUUAAAAAGCACACUCUCUUUCUACUACACACACACACACACACAAACACACACACACACACACACACACACACACACACAAGUAACGUGGUAAAACAAGUGCAAGGUGCGUUGAAAACACCAGGGUUCUAUCUUUAUGUCCGAUACUGUAUCAUUCACCGGGGGGUGAUACUGUUGUGAUGAUGUUGUUUCAGGACCAGGUGGAGUAGACGUGCGUGCGGCUAAACGGUGAGUCGUUGUUGGUGUGCGUGUGGUGUAGCGGUGAUCAGACUCUCUCUUUGAAUGAAAGCCAAUUCAUGCUGUCCACACUAACCCCUCUUCUCAGCAGACAAUACGCUUUAACGUCAUCGGUGGCUAAGCGACGCUUUACAGAAACGACCACUUGUUCCACAGUGACGGCCGUUGAUAAGCGGGAUAGGCGGAUCCAGAUCCUAUCUGUGAAUGGCUCACGAGGUGCAGCUUGAAGCGGUGAUGAUAAUGGAUCGGUUCCCACCAGUUCAUGCGGUUGUGUAGGUCCCGGCUGGACGGCAAUCGUGGUGUUGGUGUAUGCGUUUGGCGAUGACGCGGCACAAAGGAUGUUGCCGCGACUGUUUACAAUUUUGUUUACACCAGGAGAUGCCGAAUCCUCGAUUAUACGCCUCCGCUUUCCACCAGUAGCUGGUCGAGGAUCAGAGUUCCGAUUGUGAGGCGUGGAUGCAGUUUGAAGGAGGGUAAAACCACUGCGAACUUCGGCGACAAUAGGCUCAACGAGCUUGCCAAUAGCUGCUACAGCUGAGUUGAGGGCGGCUUGGAAAUCGACCUGGGCGCCUAUUUCUUUUACCGAACGGCAGCGCGGAUUUUUAAGCAUGUUAGUGCAGCCAAUGCAGCUCCAGUGCAGGUCGACAUUGGACAAUACUGCGUCAAUCAGCUCGGGGGGCAAUUUGCAACAGCCGCGGUGGAACGUAGCGUCACAAUAUGCACAACUGAUGAUGCAGCCGGUGGCCUCUAGCGGUUCAGCACACGAGAAGCAAAUAGCCGUCAUCGCGAAAUCACGCGUAGUCACAGCACAACACUGCUAAGCCGAGCAGGAAAAAACAGCAGGAAACCACAGUUGCGGUGCAACUAAACAAUUCGCCAUGACGAAACGAUGAUGUGAAACAGUUUAGUAGUCCGUAGAAUAGGCAACAAUGCGAUGCGACGCAGAAAACACUAGGAAAUUACUGAAAAAUCACGGAGCGCGACAGGAGUGCGGCCGAACAAAUUAAACGUCAAACGUAAAACGUGUUAUGGUUUUACGCUCCAAGUGCGUUCUAACGGGUUUUGUGCUGAGUAAUGUUUUUCUCGCCUUUGAAUGUUACUGUGUGGCUUGCAUGUUUUUAAGUGUGUUGGGAUACGAGUGUUUUUGCUGAUUUACAUUUCCUGACUUAAGAUUGUUAUUGUGUGUUGACCAUUUCUGUUAUUUGGUUGUAAUGAAAGUUAUGUAAACUGAGUAUAGCAUAUGCAUGCUACAGACUCUAAUGUUGCAUUUGUAGUAGGUUAAACGAUAGCUACGUUCGCCAUGUAAUGAGCGUACAGCUGUACCUUAAGUACCGUCGCGGUAGGUCAGUUUUUACUGACAUGAGCCGAGGUGGAAUAACACUUUGUUCGAAGUGGACUUUUCAUCACUUGAUCGUCCAGGCGAUCAUAGAAACCUUAAGAAGGUUUCCCUUACUGGAAACGUUGGAGUUUAGAAGCCUUACCUUGGGUAGGGGGAUAUAACUAAACUCUUGAAAUAAGUUGGAAGGCGAAGUAUUAGGAAGCGUAACGUCCUAUCUUGGCAGUCCGAACGAAUCUGACCUGCCAUGAUCGGAAUUGGUUUUAUUUAUACUCAAGAUAUGUUAUGGGUGCCGUACAUUUGGUUUUGAAAUAUGUUUUUAUCCUAAUUAAAUUUUAUUGUUAUUGGUAACAAUUUAUAAAUUGAAAUGGUGUGAGGUGUUUGUCGAUAUGUGCUUAUGCUUCGGUUUUACUGUAUUGCGAAAGAAGGUUUCAACUAUUGUUACUAAAGAAUGGAUGUUUUCGUUGCUGAGCUUAUAACUUGCUAUGCGUUCUCGAUUCACCUAGUUUGCCUGCAGUAACGCCUGAUUUGCUUAUGCUGCGUUUUUAGAGGGUUUCAAGAAGUGUGUCACAAUUGUUUUUAUAUGAACGGUGUGGCAUGAAUUCUUCCGGUUGCUUUGUUAUGGUAUGAUCUGAUUUGAUGAGUGUGUUGUAGUGAAUGUGUUGCAAUAGUGUGAUUUGGCCUUCUGAGGAAGUGUGUUGCAAUAGUGUGAUUUGGACAUAGAACGACGUAGUUGUACACCCAAGAACCCUGCACAACAAAUGACACCAUACACCAAUAUGUCAAUCUGACAGAAUAUAUUUCUCUUUGCUUUUGUUAACUGAACCGAACGCACGUGUAUUUACUUUGCUCCGCAUAUCACAUUUUCCUUCGCUCUGCUUUUAACAAUAACUUCUGUUUAGCAGAUAUGCUACACAUUUUUAAAUGUAUCUUGCUGCCGAUCCUUCGAUUUAAUUAUCGUUCUAAUAGUUGAUUCUGGUCGAUUAGUGUCUCUGGCGAUGUGGGCGUAACAUUUUCCCCCUUCGUGCUUUUUGAUAAUUUUAUGUUUUUCACUGCAGCUUAAGGAACUUUUCUUGUGUUUGAAUGCUUUUUACAUAUCUUGAUUUUCACUGCUAUUUAGAAAAAAAAACUAAAAAAGAAAAGAAACUUUUUUUUGGAAGGACGACCAUCAUCAUUACAUUAAUUGUAAACUAAUAUAUAUUACCAAAAAAACAGCUGUCGUGAUAUCUGAAACUUUCAUUGCCAAUUUCAACUAUAUUCUCUUUUUUCAUUUUACUUUUGAUUUGUUCUCUCUUUCUUUUCCUUUUACUGCUUCUAUGACCGCUCUAGUCAACAUUCGUAUAAAAACUGAUCGCUGUGUUGUUCUUUCUCUCCGUCGUCUCCAAAGCUCUCCAAAGCUGCUUAUUAUUUGACAAUUGCCUAUACAUAAAUCUUUUAUAUAUUUUUUAUUAUAUCUUAUUCUAUUCCCUACAACAGCCUGAAUAAUGCAAAGGUUUUUAUAUAGAUAUUUAUCACACCGUGUGCUUUUUUUGCUGCGUAUGAUUGUUUCGCGCGUUUUUAUUUUUAUUUUGACGGAUUUAGCAUAUCUGCUAUACAGAACUUAUUAUAAACCACACUAUCAGCAAUAGACACACGGUAACACACUUUGGAACACCCGUCAUGGGUUCAAUCCCCAAAUAGACCGUGCCGCCAUACGUAGGACUGACUAUCCUGCUAUGGGGGGGGAACCAAUUAGUCAUUGAAAGCCUAGCCCACAAGUGGGUACAGGCAGGCCUUGACCGACAACGGUUGUUGAGCCAUAGAAGAAGAAGAAGAAGAACACACUUUGGAAAGCCAAAUUACACUAUUGCAACACGUUUAUAACUCACGAAAUCCCGCAUUAGAACCCUCCAUAAUUCCGUGCUGCCUUAAUUUUUAAUUUUUAAAUUUUAAAUUCUAAUUUUCUAAAAAAAAAUUUUCUCAAAUUUUAGAUAAUUUGUUGUUCAUUUUUGUUAGGUUAGGAAAUUAGGUAAUAAGUAUUAUUUAAGUAUUUGUGUAACCAAAAGGUAGACAAAUAAAUUUGAAUAUGAAUAUGAAUAUGAAUAUGAAUAUGAAACACGAAGAGUUCAGGCCACACAGAUUGAUGUGUUUUUGGUAUAAUAAUCGGGGUUUUACAACAUUUCGAUUUACUUGGCGGAAUUACUUGGUUUCUUUGAUAUGUAACUUCAGGAGUCAUUUCAUCUACUUUCGGACUAUUAGUGCGCUUACGUUUGUUUUUGACUGUAACCCACUUAUUUUCGCAUACAGCUUGUUGCAUACUAGAACUUGAUUGCGAUAAUAUGAAUUGGGGAUUGUACGUUUGAAAUUUUUUAAGUGGUUUAAAUGUUUGUGAGCAAUACGGCGAAGGUCGUUUAGAUCAUUCUACAUUCUAAUAUAGUUUAUUGCUUCGACGAGGGUAGCAGCGUGAAUAUUGGGAACAUCGAUUUAAUUAAAUAUAAGGUGGCGCUAAACAACAGUUUGAGUCUUUAAUGAAGGAGGUUGUGUCUAAUUUCGAAAAAUUUAAAAAUGAUCUCUUGGAAACGAUGAAUGCGAAGUUCUUGGCAUCUAAGUGCGACUGCUCGAGCAAAACAAGUAGAACAAGAAGGGAAAAGAUCGUAGCAUCCAUCCGAAAGUUCGAAGAGGACACAAAUACAUAUACUUACUUACUUUACUAAUGCGGCGCUAAAACCGCAUUGCGGUCUUGGCCUGCCUCAGGAGUGUCCGAAAAAAACUCACGGUCUCACGGUCGCCUUCCUGCCAGUCCGUUAUCCCGGCCUUAAUGACAGAUGCAUCCACACCAUCCUGCCACCUCAGUUUGGGCCUACCACGGCCUCCUCUGUCCUUGUGGACGGCCUAAAGAGACUUUACAGGCUGAGUCGUCCGUUACCAUGCGUACAACAUGGCCAGCCCAUCGGUGCCAGGCGAGCUUGAUACGCUGUACAACAGUGAGGUCGCCGUACAUCUCGUUUAGCUCGCCAUUAUAGCGACUCCUCCAUUGUCCUUCCACACAUACGAGGCCAAGUAUCCUCAGACUAUCCAUGUCUCAGAGGCGUAUGUGAGUACCGGAACUAUGUAGGUACUAUAUAGUCCCAGCUUCGUCCGUCGCGACAGGUUCUUUGAGGUGAACUGAUUUUUCAGGCUGUAGAAUGACCGGUUGGCAGCUACCAUCCUUGCACGCAACUCAGCUUCCAUGCUAUUGUCGUUGCUGACCUUUGACCCCAGAUAGGUGAAUUGUGAGACGACUUCAAAAGUGUGUUUUGUACGAUCUGUACGUCACGCCUACGUAGAUUCUGAUUAUUUAUUGGUAGGCCCGCUGAUGUUGCCACCAUCAGUUUGGGCUAUGUCUCGUUCAUCUGCAAUCCGAAGUUAUCUGCUGCCUGCUCGAUCCCUUGAUAGGCUUCUGCUUCAUAGGAGAGCCGAUGAUGAUAAGAGCCUCAGACCAAUGAUGUCUAUAUCAUCAGCGUAUGCCAGGAUCUGGGUUGACUUAUAGAAGAUGGUUUCCGUAGUCUACACCCUCGAGUCUUGGAUGGCCCUCUCUUGAUAACAAUAUUUUCCUGAUUUUUUAAUUCCUUAUUUGCUAAUUCAACCCUUAAUUAUUAAUUUGUUCGGAUCCAAAGCGUUUUCUGCUACCUCGCGUGUAAAAUGUAUGUAUUAUUUAACAACAACCAUUAAUUCUUUUUUCAAUUCCAACUCUUGCUGUUUUAUAACUGUAAUUGUUUCUGUUGUCUUAUUGUAUCUUUUGAAUUCUAGCAACUGUAGUUCAGCAACGCUUCUCUUUGGAAAACGAUGAAAUUGUGUGCCAUGCACAUUUGCUUCACCUUCACCUUCAUAUUGCUGUUGUUGAAAAUGUUGUUGCUGUUGUGAUUUUUGUUGCUCUUGAAGCUGAUGUUGAGUACGCUGCUGCUGUUUCGAAGUUUGUUGCUGCUGUUCAGAAGUGGGUUGCUGCUGUUGUGGGUCUUGUUGUCUUUGUUUUUGUUGUUGUGGCUGUUUUUAAACUUGUGACCACGGCCCGGGUUGAGGCUCGUAUUGUUGUGAAUCCGCAAAUUCUACACCUAAUAAAAGCAGAUCGGAUGUACCUUCUAUCGACUGUCUUAAAUCCAACAUUUCGAUUACUUGUUUUUCCAUCGUAGAGUAAUUGCUCAAAUUGCAUGGACCUUCACCUGUAGCAUUAUACUCCCUGUUAUUGUGGGCGAGUUUUGUUUAACCCUGAUUUAUAAUUUGCCUAAACCUGACAAAACAGGGUUUUCAAAGCCAAUUCGUUAUUGUUAACUAGUUAUCGGUUGUCGUAAAGUUCCACAUUGGCGUCGUUAACCUUUAAUUGGAUACUGUCAAUUCUAUUCUGAUUAUGUUCUUUUGUGAUCAUGCCGUGAAGAAUGAAACUGUUAUUGUGCAGUUUGAGUUCGACGUGCUCGGGCAUGUCUGAAAGCUGCCAAAACACUAGCUCCGAUGUGUUCGAUCCAUAAAGCUUCUAUGAAACAAAUACACGCAGGUUCAAGAUAACCUGUCAGGUUUACGCGUUUUUCAGUUGCUCACUUUAUUUAUGGAUAACUGGAAAGUAUUCAUUUAAUACUGUGUAACAUCUUUUAUGUGCAAUAAUCCCACAGUUUCACAGAGCUAAAUAAUAGUUUAUUGAAUAUGUAAAACUAUUCUGCUAAAAGAAAAACGCUUUACUUUAGUAACCCGCAAUACAGUACAUUUUAUAUUAAAAGGUCGAGACAUUUGUUUUUGUUUUGAACUAAAAUUGAUCAUUUUUCUCUUUUUGUUAUUCUAAUUAAUGAUUUCAAUAAGAAAUGUUUGGCAACGCACACUACACUUAUCGAAUAAUUAUUUCUCGAUAGAAGCAGCUAGCAUUGAAUCAUCGGCCUAUAACAAGUACAUAGAGUGUUAAGUUGUUUCCGUAUGAUUGACAUUAUUCUUUACGGUGCACUAACGGGGUUUCGAUUUGUCCGGUAGUGCACUUUAAUUGGUUAUAAGAAUAGCUCAAUAAAUAAUUGCGGAAGGCUAAACGUGUCGUGCACCCAAAGUUUUUUUUUGCACAAAGAAGACUUCAGGUAAACAUUCAAGUGAGUUUAUUGAAUGCUCAGUGAAACAGCUUAGCACCAAACACAUAGCAAUUCAUGGAUCAUCACAAUCCAGUCAAAAUAACUCACAAAUACUAAUAAUAUCCAUAUGGAAAAAAGAAGCAAUUCAUUGAUUGCAUUUACCGCUAGCGCUGGAUUGUCUCUUUAAAUUUUGGCAAUUAGCUUCUCACUUCAUCGCAAAUCUCUAUCCUUUUCUGGCUACAAUGCGCUGGUGUUGUACCGUUAUCUAUGACAGAAUAUGGCUUGCGCUGUUAUCAGUCACAUAGACAGAAUGUGUAAGUGUAUCCAUACAGAACAGCAAAAGAAAAGAGAACGACGUUCUAUACCGGAUCGAAAAGAACGCUGAGAGGAACAGGUUCAGAUUUUACUUGCUUCCUUUGUACGUACCAAAUCGGCCCAUCGUAUGAUAGAGCACGAGGUUCGAGCGUUCCAGACCGGAUCAAAAAGAACGCUGAGAGUAAAAGGUUCAAAAUGAUCCUGGAUGCUUUGUUUGCACGAAAUCGGCUCAUCAAAUCAAAGAGCAACUCUCUCCGUCAAGCGUUCUUGGCCGGAUCGCAAAGAGCACUGAGAGCAACCAGUCCAGCUCAGACUACCGAGAACGCUGAGACUAGCCGCUUCACAUCGGAUCGAUAAGAACGUUGAUAGCAGUAGGUUCAGGUCGGAUCGCAAAGAACGGUGGGAGAAACAGGUUCAGUUUGAACCUGGUUGAAGAAAAUAUUUUUCGAAUGUGUUUAAAUCAAAUUUACUUUCGUCGUUUUUUUUUGGAAUGAUAAUUCGUUUUAGACAAAUUCAUUAAUUUAAUAAAACAAAAAUUAAGAAAAAAAACAAUGCAACACAUUUUUACGCUACGCUUAUUCAAACUAAAUAACUAACUAACUUACUAAAGUAACCAACACCAAAAAAAACUACCUUAAAUCUAAGUCUUUCCUUACUAAACUAAUACAAAACCCCCUAAAUCAACCUAAUCCUAACACUACUCUAUAUCUAGCUAAAGCUAACCUACUCGCUAUUACGCUACUGACCACGACCAGCAUAUUCCCGGUUUCGCGAUGGCGCACGCUUCGGGCUUUCGGGUGUUGGGUCCAAGGUUAUUAGACUCUAUACAGGUUAUGUCAAAACACCGUUUUGAUACAUCUUCAAUAAAAAAAUGAAUAAAAAUUUUGACAGGCAAAUUGGAAAGUUUGUUUACCUACAAAUUGCAAUCUUUCCGAACAUACAGCUAUCGCAAUUGAUGAGUGCUUAGAUACUACAGUUUUUCUGCGUUUCAAUUUCCGUUUUUGUGCUUUUUUAGUUUACGGCUGGUUAAGUUUAUUUAAGGAAUUAGGUUUAUCUAAGCAAAGUAAUUCAUUAAAUAGCUACAAAUUACGAAACAAAGCAGUGAAAUAUGUCGUCCAAGUACAAGUGUUGUGUAGCAUCUUGUAAAAAUAAUAUAUAAUGUAAAGAAAGUUGGUGUCAAUUUAUGCUUCUGUAAGCUUUUAGUCGGAGCUUAUCUUUAUUAUUCACAAUAUAUUAAUAACGUAUAAAUUGAUCCGAAUCAGCGGACGGUUGCGAGAGAAGUGAACGAGUGAUCGGCGCAUCCGAUCGCUGCUUCCUCGUUCGUCCUGCACUAAACUGAUCUAAUAUCUGUCAACUCAACUUACUCUAUAUCACAUGGUGAUGUCCACUUAAGGUGGUGAAUAUGACAGCGACGUUGAGAUUGCGGCAUCUGAUGUGCAGAUGGCGCUGAUCACCACACUUCCAUAAAUUCCCAGAAGGGAAAGAUACCAAACAAAAAUGGAUAGCCUUUUGCCAAAGGGAAAUAUCGUGGAUACCUUCAUCAAGUAAUGUGGUGUGUUCGCAACAUUUCUUGCCAUCUGAUUACCAAUUGAGCAGCUCGCACAAUACCAAGUGUGGGGCUAAUUGGCUAAACCCUGAAGCUGUCCCAUCUAUCCUGUUACCACAAGGCACUGGUUUGAAUUUGUCGCAGUUUAAUGAACAUCAGCAGAAUAAUAACAAUGAUGAAUCUUCCCGGCCGGAACUGCAAGGUGCCACUUCAUCUAAUCUCUUGCCGGACGAACAUGAUUUAAGAUUGAUUGGAAAAGAGAACGUUUGCAAGAAAUGUAAGGGAUUAGAAAAAAAAAUAUUUAAUUUAGAAGCAAAACUUAGUGAAUUAGAAGAGCGCAACAAGCAACUGGUCACUAUAAAUAACAAAUUAAGUGAUACACUGAAGGAAGUAAAUGAAAAAGAAAAGGAACAUCUGAAAAAGAUAGAAGAACUUGAUAAAGCUACAAAAAAAAUUAAAGAAGAAUGGCCACGCGCUAAUUUUGUGCAGAACAUGAAAGAUUCGCUGAAGGGUUCGUUAUCAUCAAAUCAAAUUGAUCUUAUUUUAGGAAUUAAGAAGGCUGUUCGAUGGACAAAAGAAGAACUUUCCUUAGCAUUUACUCUUAGAUAUUUUAGUCAAAGGUCAUACCGUUACAUAGGCGAUGAUAUGAAGAUACCAGUACCGGUACCAAGAACUUUACAACGAUAUUCUUCCAAGAUUGAUCUAAAACAAGGCAUUCUGGAAGAUAUAUUGAAAUUCAUUGGAUCAUAUUCACAAACAUUGAGCCUGAUCGGGAACAAAAAUCGAUAAUGGAGUGGAUAAUUUAGUCGAUCAGUUAAACAAAUUCCAAUGUUAUCCAAUUGCGUUUUCUCAAUCAGAAUCUUCGCUAACCGAUCGGUUAGGAAGUGGAGUGGAAUGGUGUUUGUCGCCAUAGCAACGUGGUUAAAAAGUCGAGCAGUGGGAUAUGCAGUUGAAAACUCCAUACAAAAAAACCAUUUCAGUCGGAUAUACAUAGCUACUGCUCCACCCCAGUUGAUAUAACAGUGGAAAACUAAAUAAUAUGUAAAACCAUGUCUAACAGCCCGCUAAAAAGAUGUUUUAAUCGCUGUUUGAGUUGUUUGAGAUGCUUUAUCACUUGAAUUAGCUACAAUAUUUUUUUUUGAAAAUGUUAUUUUACCUGUUUUUUUAUAAACAAUCAAAACACAUAAAUUUAUGUUUAUAACAGGUAUCUAGUUUUUAUGGUUCAAGCCAAGAAAUAAGAAACCAACAAAAGAAAUCAUUUUCUGCUAAUGAUUCUCUUUUAUCCAACCUUAUGGUAUGGCCUUAUGGCAUGUUAGAAUCGGUUCCGACACAUAAAUGCAACGAGAUUGGGAAGACCAGUAGGAUCACUAGGUUCAAGAAAGUAUAAGCAACUCAUAUUUGUUGGAGCAGCGAGUUCCGGUCGGAAUCGCUUGCGUUGUUUUGCACCUAUCGAAGGUGUUGUGCCUACUUGUACCUUCCGGGCUAUCCCCAAAACCUCCGGGUCGCUUAUGGAUGGAUACAGCCCGGAAAUGUUCGGAUUGACUCACACAUCGCUAAAUUCCACGCCUCGUGACAAACGCGUCACUCAAUGAAUUUUUUUGUUCAAUCAUUUACACCAAUAUGUACACUUGAAUAGCUUCUCUACUAAAUCACAUGGUUUACAAUUUUAUCGUAGUUAUUUUAUUUUUAUCAAAUUUGACAAAAUCAUCAUCGUAUGUAUGGAAGCACAUUCAUUGUCGUAUCAAGCUCGCCAGGCUUCUGUUUUCAGAGUUAUACCCAUGUUAAAGGCAUGGAAACGAACGACC